rnacentral:rRNA from 1 species
CAGGUGGAGCAAACUCAAAAAAUAGGUCUCAGUUCGGACUGCAGGCUGCAACCCGCCUGCAUGAAGUCGGAAUUGCUAGUAAUCGUAGGUCAGCAUACUACGGUGAAUACGUUCCCGGGCCUUGUACACACCGCCCGUCAAACCAUGAGAGUUGGCAACACCCGAAGUCGGUAGUCUAACCGCAAGGAGGACGCCGCCGAAGGUGGGGUUGAUGAUUAGGGUUAAGUCGUAACAAGGUACC